rnacentral:rRNA from 1 species
CACGUAGGGCGCAAGCGUUUGUCCGGAAUUAUUGGGCGUAAAGAGCUCGUAGGCGGUCUGUUGCGUCCGCUGUGAAAACCCCAGGGCUUAACCCUGGGCUGGCAGUGGAUACGGACAGACUAGAGGUAGGUAGGGGAGAAUGGAAUUCCCGGUGUAGCGGUGAAAUGCGCAGAUAUCGGGAGGAACACCGGUGGCGAAGGCGGUUCUCUGGGCCUGACCUGACGCUGAGGAGCGAAAGCGUGGGGAGCGAACAGGG